GGGUUGUGAGGUUAAGCGACUAAGCGUACACGGUGGAUGCCCUGGCAGUCAGAGGCGAUGAAGGACGUGCUAAUCUGCGAUAAGCGCCGGUAAGGUGAUAUGAACCGUUAUAACCGGCGAUUUCCGAAUGGGGAAACCCAGUGUGACUCGUCACACUAUCAUUAACUGAAUCCAUAGGUUAAUGAGGCGAACCGGGGGAACUGAAACAUCUAAGUACCCCGAGGAAAAGAAAUCAACCGAGAUUCCCCCAGUAGCGGCGAGCGAACGGGGAGGAGCCCAGAGCCUGAAUCAGCAUGUGUGUUAGUGGAAGCGUCUGGAAAGGCGCGCGAUACAGGGUGACAGCCCCGUACACAAAAGCGCAUAUGCUGUGAGCUCGAUGAGUAGGGCGGGACACGUGGUAUCCUGUCUGAAUAUGGGGGGACCAUCCUCCAAGGCUAAAUACUCCUGACUGACCGAUAGUGAACCAGUACCGUGAGGGAAAGGCGAAAAGAACCCCGGCGAGGGGAGUGAAAAAGAACCUGAAACCGUGUACGUACAAGCAGUGGGAGCACCCUUUUGGGUGUGACUGCGUACCUUUUGUAUAAUGGGUCAGCGACUUAUAUUCUGUAGCAAGGUUAACCGAAUAGGGGAGCCGGAGGGAAACCGAGUCUUAAUUGGGCGUUAAGUUGCAGGGUAUAGACCCGAAACCCGGUGAUCUAGCCAUGGGCAGGUUGAAGGUUGGGUAACACUAACUGGAGGACCGAACCGACUAAUGUUGAAAAAUUAGCGGAUGACCUGUGGCUGGGGGUGAAAGGCCAAUCAAACCGGGAGAUAGCUGGUUCUCCCCGAAAGCUAUUUAGGUAGCGCCUCGUGAAUUCAUCUCCGGGGGUAGAGCACUGUUUCGGCUAGGGGGCCAUCCCGGCUUACCAACCCGAUGCAAACUGCGAAUACCGGAGAAUGUUAUCACGGGAGACACACGGCGGGUGCUAACGUCCGUCGUGAAGAGGGAAACAACCCAGACCGCCAGCUAAGGUCCCAAAGUCAUGGUUAAGUGGGAAACGAUGUGGGAAGGCCCAGACAGCCAGGAUGUUGGCUUAGAAGCAGCCAUCAUUUAAAGAAAGCGUAAUAGCUCACUGGUCGAGUCGGCCUGCGCGGAAGAUGUAACGGGGCUAAACCAUGCACCGAAGCUGCGGCAGCGACGCUUAUGCGUUGUUGGGUAGGGGAGCGUUCUGUAAGCCUGUGAAGGUGGCCUGUGAGGGUUGCUGGAGGUAUCAGAAGUGCGAAUGCUGACAUAAGUAACGAUAAAGCGGGUGAAAAGCCCGCUCGCCGGAAGACCAAGGGUUCCUGUCCAACGUUAAUCGGGGCAGGGUGAGUCGACCCUAAGGCGAGGCCGAAAGGCGUAGUCGAUGGGAAACGGGUUAAUAUUCCCGUACUUGGUGUUACUGCGAAGGGGACGGAGAAGGCUAUGUUGGCCGGGCGACGGUUGUCCCGGUUUAAGCGUGUAGGUGUGUGUUCCGUAAAUCCGGUUCACUUUAACACUGAGGCGUGACGACGAGGCACUACGGUGCUGAAGCAACAAAUGCCCUGCUUCCGUGAAAGCCUCUAAGCAUCAGGUAACACGAAAUCGUACCCCAAACCGACACAGGUGGUCAGGUAGAGAAUACCAAGGCGCUUGAGAGAACUCGGGUGAAGGAACUAGGCAAAAUGGUGCCGUAACUUCGGGAGAAGGCACGCUGACAUGUAGGUGAAGUGAUUUACUCAUGGAGCUGAAGUCAGUCGAAGAUACCAGCUGGCUGCAACUGUUUAUUAAAAACACAGCACUGUGCAAACACGAAAGUGGACGUAUACGGUGUGACGCCUGCCCGGUGCCGGAAGGUUAAUUGAUGGGGUCAGCGCAAGCGAAGCUCCUGAUCGAAGCCCCGGUAAACGGCACGUAACUAUAACGGUCCUAAGGUAGCGAAAUUCCUUGUCGGGUAAGUUCCGACCUGCACGAAUGGCGUAAUGAUGGCCAGGCUGUCUCCACCCGAGACUCAGUGAAAUUGAACUCGCUGUGAAGAUGCAGUGUACCCGCGGCAAGACGGAAAGACCCCGUGAACCUUUACUAUAGCUUGACACUGAACAUUGAGCCUUGAUGUGUAGGAUAGGUGGGAGGCUUUGAAGUGUGGACGCCAGUCUGCAUGGAGCCGGCCUUGAAAUACCACCCUUUAAUGUUUGAUGUUCUAACGUGGACCCGUGAUCCGGGUUGCGGACAGUGUCUGGUGGGUAGUUUGACUGGGGCGGUCUCCUCCUAAAGAGUAACGGAGGAGCACGAAGGUUGGCUAAUCCUGGUCGGACAUCAGGAGGUUAGUGCAAUGGCAUAAGCCAGCUUGACUGCGAGCGUGACGGCGCGAGCAGGUGCGAAAGCAGGUCAUAGUGAUCCGGUGGUUCUGAAUGGAAGGGCCAUCGCUCAACGGAUAAAAGGUACUCCGGGGAUAACAGGCUGAUACCGCCCAAGAGUUCAUAUCGACGGCGGUGUUUGGCACCUCGAUGUCGGCUCAUCACAUCCUGGGGCUGAAGUAGGUCCCAAGGGUAUGGCUGUUCGCCAUUUAAAGUGGUACGCGAGCUGGGUUUAGAACGUCGUGAGACAGUUCGGUCCCUAUCUGCCGUGGGCGCUGGAGAACUGAGGGGGGCUGCUCCUAGUACGAGAGGACCGGAGUGGACGCAUCACUGGUGUUCGGGUUGUCAUGCCAAUGGCACUGCCCGGUAGCUAAAUGCGGAAGAGAUAAGUGCUGAAAGCAUCUAAGCACGAAACUUGCCCCGAGAUGAGUUCUCCCUGAGACUUUAGGUCUCCUGAAGGAACGUUGAAGACGACGACGUUGAUAGGCCGGGUGUGUAAGCGCAGCGAUGCGUUGAGCUAACCGGUACUAAUGAACCGUGAGGCUUAACCUUACAACGCCGAAG
rnacentral:rRNA from 1 species